GGUUCCAUAGCGUAGAAGUUAGCACAUCUGCUUUACAUGCAGAAGGUCCUGAGUUCACACCUUAGUGGAGCCA
rnacentral:tRNA from 1 species